rnacentral:rRNA from 1 species
GACGAACGCUGGCGGCGUGCUUAACACAUGCAAGUCGAACGGAAAGGCCCCUUUGGGGGUACUCGAGUGGCGAACGGGUGAGUAACACGUGAGUAACCUGCCCUUGACUUCGGGAUAACUUCAGGAAACUGGGGCUAAUACCGGAUAGGAAUCCUUGCUGCAUGGUGGGGGUUGGAAAGCUUCGGCGGUUUUGGAUGGACUCGCGGCUUAUCAGCUUGUUGGUGGGGUAGUGGCUUACCAAGGCUUUGACGGGUAGCCGGCCUGAGAGGGCGACCGGCCACAUUGGGACUGAGAUACGGCCCAGACUCCUACGGGAGGCAGCAGUGGGGAAUAUUGCACAAUGGGCGGAAGCCUGAUGCAGCAACGCCGCGUGCGGGAUGACGGCCUUCGGGUUGUAAACCGCUUCAGCAGGGGCGAAGCUUGUGGUGACGGUACCUGCAGAAGAAGCACCGGCUAACUACGUG